GGGUAUGUAGAUCAGAGGUAGUAGAUCACCAGUCUAGCAUGCAGGAGGCCCUGAGUUCAAUCUCAGCACCA
rnacentral:tRNA from 1 species